rnacentral:misc_RNA from 1 species
GAUGAAGAGCGUAGCGAAAUGCGAUAAGUAAUGUGAAUUGCAGAAUUCAGUGAAUCAUCGAAUCUUUGAACGCACAUUGCGCCCGCCAGUAUUCUGGCGGGCAUGCCUGUUCGAGCGUCAUUACAACCCUCAGGCCCCCGGGCCUGGCGUUGGGGAUCGGCGGAGCCCCCCGUGGGCACACGCCGUCCCCCAAAUGCAGUGGCGGUCCCGCCGCAGCUUCCAUCGCGUAGUAGCUAACACCUCGCGACUGGAGAGCGGCGCGGCCACGCCGUAAAACACCCAACUCUUCUGAAGUUGACCUCGAAUCAGGUAGGAAUACCCGCUGAACUUAAGCAUAUCAAUAAGCGGAGGA